rnacentral:tRNA from 1 species
ACGUCAGUAGUAUAUUUGAGUAUGCCGUCUUUCCAAGUCGGGGGUCUAAUGUGAUUAGUUGUCGU